rnacentral:rRNA from 1 species
UACAGAGGUCCCGAGCGUUGUUCGGAUUCACUGGGCGUAAAGGGUGCGUAGGUGGUGAGGUAAGUCGGAUGUGAAAUCUCCGAGCUCAACUCGGAAAUGGCAUUGGAAACUACCUUGCUCGAGGGUUGGAGGGGGGACUGGAAUGCUUGGUGUAGCAGUGAAAUGCGUAGAUAUCAAGCGGAACACCAGUGGCGAAGGCGAGUCCCUGGACAACUCCUGACACUGAGGCACGAAAGCUAGGGGAGCAAACAGG